GACGAACCGAGCGAACGCUGUUCGGAAUCACUGGGCUUAAAGGGCGCGUAGGCGGGCUGCCAAGUCUGUGGUGAAAUCCUCCAGCUUAACUGGAGAACGGCCGUGGAUACUGGCGGUCUCGAGGAAGGUAGGAGCAAGUGGAACUGUGCGUGGAGCGGUGAAAUGCGUUGAUAUGCACAGGAACUCCGGUGGCGAAGGCGACUUGCUGGACCUUUUCUGACGCUGAGGCGCGAAAGCUAGGGGAGCGAACGGG
rnacentral:rRNA from 1 species